AGGCAUUAAACAUUACGCGCGACCAGAACAUCGGUCUGUCGGUUCAGUCGCAAAUGUGAGUCGCGGUGUCAGGGCAUUUUGCUAAUUUUUUUCGUGCAUUCAUUUCAUCUGGGCGUGAGUAGAGCCGACGGGGCAUUUUGCUUGAUAUUAGAAUUAGAAGCAAAGGUGUGCGGUGCACGCACAGCGAAAAAAAUGAUGGGAGGGGAGAGGGAAGGAGAAGGGGUAUAUGUAUUUGCAGCGCGAUAUGGAACAUGUGCGAUCAUUCCAG
rnacentral:lncRNA from 1 species